UACAUGUGGGGCAAGCGUUGUUCGGAAUUACUGGGCAUAAAGGGUGCGUAGGCGGCUUGUUAAGUCAGGGGUGAAAGUUUUCGGCCCAACCGGAAAAUGGCCUCUGAUACUGGCGAGCUCGAGUGCGUGAGGGGUGACUGGAACGAGCAGUGUAGCGGUGAAAUGCGUAGAUAUUGCUCGGAAGGCCAACGGCGAAGGCAGGUCACUGGUACGCAACUGACGCUGAGGCACGAAAGCGUGGGGAGCAAAC
rnacentral:rRNA from 1 species